GACGAACGCUGGCGGCGUGCUUAACACAUGCAAGUCGAACGGAAAGGCCCUGCUUUUGUGGGGUGCUCGAGUGGCGAACGGGUGAGUAACACGUGAGUAACCUGCCCUUGACUUUGGGAUAACUUCAGGAAACUGGGGCUAAUACCGGAUAGGAGCUCCUGCUGCAUGGUGGGGGUUGGAAAGUUUCGGCGGUUGGGGAUGGACUCGCGGCUUAUCAGCUUGUUGGUGGGGUAGUGGCUUACCAAGGCUUUGACGGGUAGCCGGCCUGAGAGGGUGACCGGCCACAUUGGGACCGAGAUACGGCCCAGACUCCUACGGGAGGCAGCAGUGGGGAAUAUUGCACAAUGGGCGAAAGCCUGAUGCAGCAACGCCGCGUGCGGGAUGACGGCCUUCGGGUUGUAAACCGCUUUCGCCUGUGACGAAGCGUGAGUGACGGUAAUGGGUAAAGAAGCACCGGCUAACUACGUG
rnacentral:rRNA from 1 species